rnacentral:rRNA from 1 species
GUGGGGAAUCUUCCACAAUUGACGAAAGUCUGAUGGAGCAACGCCGCGUGAGUGAAGAAGGGUUUCGGCUCGUAAAGCUCUGUUGUCGGGGACGAAUGUGCAGUAUUUGAAUAAAGUACUGUAAUGACGGUACCUGACGAGGAAGCCACGGCUAACUACGUGCCAGCAGCCGCGGUAAUACGUAGGUGGCAAGCGUUGUCCGGAAUUAUUGGGCGUAAAGGGAGCGCAGGCGGGAAGGUAAGUCGGUCUUAAAAGUGCGGGGCUCAACCCCGUGAUGGGAUCGAAACUAUCUUUCUUGAGUGCAGGAGAGGAAAGUGGAAUUCCUAGUGUAGCGGUGAAAUGCGUAGAUAUUAGGAGGAACACCAGUGGCGAAGGCGACUUUCUGGACUGUAACUGACGCUGAGGCUCGAAAGCCAGGGGAGCGAACGGGAUUAGAAACCCUUGUAGUCC